rnacentral:rRNA from 1 species
UAUAAUGCAAGUCGGACGGGAUUGGAACCAGAGCUUGCUCUGAUUCCAUGAGAGUGGCGCACGGGUGCGUAACGCGUGAGCAACCUACCUCUAUCAGGGGGAUAGCCUCUCGAAAGAGAGAUUAACACCGCAUAACAUCAACAGUUCGCAUGUUCUGUUGAUUAAAUAUUUAUAGGAUAGAGAUGGGCUCGCGUGACAUUAGCUAGUUGGUAGGGUAACGGCUUACCAAGGCGACGAUGUCUAGGGGCUCUGAGAGGAGAAUCCCCCACACUGGUACUGAGACACGGACCAGACUCCUACGGGAGGCAGCAGUAAGGAAUAUUGGUCAAUGGGCGGAAGCCUGAACCAGCCAUGCCGCGUGCAGGAUGACUGCCCUAUGGGUUGUAAACUGCUUUUGUCCAGGAAUAAACCUCCUUACGUGUAGGGAGCUGAAUGUACUGGAAGAAUAAGGAUCGGCUAACUCCGUGCCAGCAGCCGCGGUAAUACGGAGGAUCCGAGCGUUAUCCGGAUUUAUUGGGUUUAAAGGGUGCGUAGGCGGCCUAUUAAGUCAGGGGUGAAAUACGGUGGCUCAACCAUCGCAGUGCCUUUGAUACUGAUGGGCUUGAAUCCAUUUGAAGUGGGCGGAAUAAGACAAGUAGCGGUGAAAUGCAUAGAUAUGUCUUAGAACUCCGAUUGCGAAGGCAGCUCACUAAGCUGGUAUUGACGCUGAUGCACGAAAGCGUGGGGAUCGAACAGGAUUAGAUACCCUGGUAGUCCACGCCCUAAACGAUGAUAACUCGAUGUUGGCGAUAGACAGCCAGCGUCUUAGCGAAAGCGUUAAGUUAUCCACCUGGGGAGUACGCCCGCAAGGGUGAAACUCAAAGGAAUUGACGGGGGCCCGCACAAGCGGAGGAGCAUGUGGUUUAAUUCGAUGAUACGCGAGGAACCUUACCCGGGCUUGAAAGUUAGUGAAGGAUGCAGAGACGCAUCCGUCUAGCGGACC